rnacentral:rRNA from 1 species
CAACGCGAAGAACCUUACCAGGCCUUGACAUGCAGAGAACUUUCCAGAGAUGGAUUGGUGCCUUCGGGAACUCUGACACAGGUGCUGCAUGGCCGUCGUCAGCUCGUGUCGUGAGAUGUUGGGUUAAGUCCCGUAACGAGCGCAACCCUUGUCCUUAGUUACCAGCACGUUAUGGUGGGCACUCUAAGGAGACUGCCGGUGACAAACCGGAGGAAGGUGGGGAUGACGUCAAGUCAUCAUGGCCCUUACGGCCUGGGCUACACACGUGCUACAAUGGUCGGUACAAAGGGUUGCCAAGCCGCGAGGUGGAGCUAAUCCCAUAAAACCGAUCGUAGUCCGGAUCGCAGUCUGCAACUCGACUGCGUGAAGUCGGAAUCGCUAGUAAUCGUGAAUCAGAAUGUCACGGUGAAUACGUUCCCGGGCCUU